rnacentral:rRNA from 1 species
AUGCCUAACACAUGCAAGUCGAACGAGGUGCCUUCGGGUAUCUAGUAGCGCACGGGUGCGUAACGCGUGGGAAUCUGCCCUGGGGUCUGGGAUAACCGUUGGAAACGACGGCUAAUACCGGAUGAUGAUGUAAAUCCAAAGAUUUAUCGCCCUGGGAUGAGCCCGCGUAGGAUUAGCUAGUUGGUGGGGUAAAGGCCUACCAAGGCGACGAUCCUUAGCUGGUCUGAGAGGAUGAUCAGCCACACUGGGACUGAGACACGGCCCAGACUCC